ACAAGGUUUCCGUAGGUGAACCUGCGGAAGGAUCAUUACCGAGGAAAAGCGCCCGGGGCCUCGGCCCGGGGCGCUGACUUACCAAACCCUCUGUGUACCUUUACCUUUGUUGCUUGCCGUCGGGUUUGCGCCCGGCGGGGAGGUCCACCAAACUCAUGUUUUUCCAUGCAGUCAGUUAGAGCGGCUCGUCCGCGAAAAUUUAAAAGUUAAAACUUUCAACAACGGAUCUCUUGGUUCUCGCAUCGAUGAAGAACGCAGCGAAAUGCGAUAAGUAGUGUGAAUUGCAGAAUUCAGUGAAUCAUCGAAUCUUUGAACGCACAUUGCGCCCUCUGGUAUUCCGGGGGGCAUGCCUGUCCGAGCGUCGUCAAACCCCCUCAAGCUCCUUUGCUUGGUCAUGGCGGAAGAUCCCCUCCCCGGAGGGGUUCCCCGCUUAAAGGAAUCUGGCGGAGAGCCUGGUCCUCGGAGACGUAGUAAGCAAUUCUAUCGUCUCUCGAGCGAUCAUCUCCCAGCCGACAACCCCAAACUUUUCUAGGUUGACCUCGGAUCAGGUAGGGAUACCCGCUGAACUUAAGCAUAUCACGGGGGAAGAAAA
rnacentral:rRNA from 1 species